rnacentral:rRNA from 1 species
UACGUAGGGUGCGAGCGUUUAAUCGGAAUUACUGGGCGUAAAGCGUGCGCAGGCGGUUAUGUAAGACAGAUGUGAAAUGCCCGGGCUUAACCUGGGAACUGCAUUUGUGACUGCAUGGCUAGAGUUUGGCAGAGGGGGGUAGAAUUCCACGUGUAGCAGUGAAAUGCGUAGAUAUGUGGAGGAACACCGAUGGCGAAGGCAGCCCCCUGGGUCAAGACUGACGCUCAUGCACGAAAGCGUGGGAGCAA